rnacentral:lncRNA from 1 species
AGGGAGAUGCCCUUGGAGGUGAGGAGGAUCUGGAUGAGGACGAGGCGCGUGGCCUCGAAGGCGACGGCGGCGAGCUGCAGGGCAACGCCACGGGCGUCGAAGCGGGCCUCGCCGUAGGCGGCAAUGGCGACGCCGAAGGAGAUGGAGAGCAUGUUGAGCAUGGCGGAGGACUUGAAGGUCUCCUUCUUGAAGAGCACCCCGAUGGAGUAGACGGCGACGGGCAUGAGCGCCUUGAGCAUCUGGAUGAAGGAGACGGAGAGGUAGAUGUAGGCGGAGUUGGAGAACCAGAGCGAGAGCGAGUAGAGCGCGCCGAUGGGGACGACGGAUGAGACGUAGAGCUGCGACGUCAUGGCGGGGGAGGACGGGAGGUCGACGACGCGGAGGACGCGGACG